AUUGAACGCUGGCGGCAUGCCUUACACAUGCAAGUCGAACGGCAGCACGGGAGCAAUCCUGGUGGCGAGUGGCGAACGGGUGAGUAAAGCAUCGGAACGUGCCCAGUCGUGGGGGAUAACGUAGCGAAAGCUACGCUAAUACCGCAUACGAUCUGUGGAUGAAAGCGGGGGACCGUAAGGCCUCGCGCGAUUGGAGCGGCCGAUGUCAGAUUAGGUAGUUGGUGGGGUAAAGGCUCACCAAGCCGACGAUCUGUAGCUGGUCUGAGAGGACGACCAGCCACACUGGGACUGAGACACGGCCCAGACUCCUACGGGAGGCAGCAGUGGGGAAUUUUGGACAAUGGGCGCAAGCCUGAUCCAGCAAUGCCGCGUGCAGGAUGAAGGCCUUCGGGUUGUAAACUGCUUUUGUACGGAGCGAAAAGGCUUCCACUAAUACUGGGGGCUCAUGACGGUACCGUAAGAAUAAGCACCGGCUAACUACGUGCCAGCAGCCGCGGUAAAAC
rnacentral:rRNA from 1 species